rnacentral:lncRNA from 10 species
AGGACUCUGUAGGUCUCCUAAUUUCUUUCACCGCCUCACUGAGCCUUUCUUCCCCUUAGGUAAACCCAGUUCACUCAGGCAGAAGCAAGAGGAAGAACAUUCCUCCAGCUCCUCCUCAUGCAGGCCCGAGAGGUGGGAGGGCAUUCUGCCAGCCCAGUAUAUCCACUUUGCUUCGACAAAUGUCAGCCUGCCCAGAAUAAGGAAGUACCCACAGCCGGGAAAGGUAAAUCCAAACCCUGAAAAGACAGAUACUGAGCAUUUGAAAUAACACAGCUUGCAGCGUCCUUGCGGAGCCCUGUUUAUGGGGCAAUAAACCAUUUAAACGACUGUGUGUUGGAACCCACAAGGUCGCCUUGAAAGGCUUUUCACAGACACUGCUAGUAGGGCUCCAGGACGUCUGGAGGGCCAGGAUGGGGUGUCUUUUUGGCUUCUGCUUGAAGCUGCUGGUUCCCCUCCAUCAGGAACGCCAGCCCCUGGAGAGGCUGCCAUGAGGUGAGUACCCUGGGGAAGAUCCCAGAGUUCAGGCUGGGCAGCCUGCAUCAUGGGUACUAAGGGCCAAGUCUGUGUCUUCUGCCUUGUGGUGAGGAAGAGAGAAAUUAUUUCUUGCUUGGGGAUAUUGGGAGGAAGGGCUAUGGUGUGGUGAGAAAAGCGUGAGCUGUGUGCGGUGGUAAGUGCCUGGAGUCCCUGCUAUUUGGGAGGCUGAGGCAGGAGGAUCGCUGGAGCCCAGGAAUUUGAGGCUGUAAUGUGCUAUAAUCACACCUGUGAAUGGCCACUACACUCCAGCCUAGCAACACAGACUUCAUCUCUUAAAUUUAAAAAAGCAUGACCUAAACGUGAAUUUCAAUCCUAUGUUUGUUGCCUAACCUUGGCAAAUGUACUUGCCCUCUCUAUGACUCAGUUUUAUCACCCGUAAGAUGGGAAUAAUAGCAAUAAUAUGCCUAAUAGAGUUUUUGUGAGAAUUAAAUGAGAUUAUAUAUAGACAUUGGGCUUAGCAAAGGGCCUGGCACUUCGUAAGUGCUAAAAAAAAAUUAGUCAUUGUCAAGAAUGUUAUCGCUACACCCAUCUUUUUCCAUCUGGUUACUCUUCUCCCAGCUCCAACAGAGCAAUGGCCCCUGGGAGGCUAAGAGAUAAUAACUCACCAUCUACUUCUGGGAGGGUAAUAAACACACCCAAGUAGCUCACAUUAACGCAGACUCCGAUCAACUCUUGCAGCCCGGCAGAGUCCAGAGGCUGCUGGAGGCAAAGGGCAGAAGCUGGGGAGAGCCAAGGGGCUGGGGCCAGGUGGACUUCGAGCAGACAGCCUGCAGAACAGUGCCAGUGGCUUCUUUGGGCAGCACUUUUUGGGCAGUACUCUUUGACAUAGGCCUGGCGAAGCUGGACAUGACUAAAUACCCGUUUGUAGAAGGCAAAAUAGUCGGAGGAGACCCUCUGUUUUGAAAACCCACCAGCACUCCUAGGAAAUACAAUCUGCUGAUGUUAGAAAGCAGAUGUGUAGCAGGAGAGAGGGUAACACCAAGGGAACGGGCCAGCUGGUCCGCAGGAGUGUUCCCAAGGCCAUAGCAUGCCUUGGUGACUUCUUCUAGGUCUGGGACUACCCUGUAUCAGGCUCUAAAAUUUAAUGUGGUCAACAGGCUGAGGGUAGAUUUGCCCACUGGGGAUAGACUAGUAUCAACCAAGAUCAUAAAACAUGAAUAUAUAGACGAGACUACGAAUUCUUUCUCUCCUUUUCUCACUCUUUCUCUUCCUCUCUCUCUUUUCCUUAUAUUUACUGAAUACCUACUAUAUAUAUGCUAGGUAGCUAUAAAUAAAAGCAUCUACCUUAAUAGAGCAUGCAUACUAGUCGGGGAGAUUAAAACAUGGCCAUCUAUGUAAAUAACAGCAGAGAAUCAUAAGCACCAGGAAGGCCACACAGCAGGGGUAGGCAGGGCUUGUGAGGAAGGGGCACACUUGGCCAAGGUAAGGCCUCUCUGAGGAGGUGGCCUGUGAGCCAGGAUGGAGGAAAGGCAUUCUAGGCAAGGAGCCUUGCGAAACAACUGCCCAGUAGCCCGGGAUCCCUGCACACCUUUUCCUGGCAGUCUCCCAGCGCAGGGAGAUGAGCUAUAGUCAGAACGAGGACCCAAGCAAGCGAGGAAUUAAUCUCAGGUACUGACUGGUCCAUGGAGGGCUGCAGUGGUCUCUCACCACCCCAAAUCUCACCCUGGCCAGGGCCGAGAUGUUUGCGGAUCUAGGCUGCUCCCCACAGCAGUGCUGGAGGGGCUGUCCCAUUGUCCCUGCAUCCACACAUCCUAUCCCCAGAUUAGUUAAUGGAACUUAGUGGGCUGCCAUUACGUUUUGCUUGGGUAAAAUAUCCAAAUUGUUUAACCUCUCUGCACGUGUUUUCUCAUCUACAAAAUAAGGAUGAGAGCUAGCUUGCAAGGCUCUGGGGUGGAGAUGAAGAUUCAGCAAAGAAGUUAAGUUUCAUAAAGCUAUCAUGCUUGCUAGCAGGCAUUCCAUAGACAGUUAGUUUAAAUUGCUGUUAUUCAUAUUAUAUUGAUUAUUCUGCCCCAGCCUGUGAGCCACGUCAACUCUUAGAGGAACAGCAAUAGAGCACAGGAAUGGCACAUAGAACAUGGGCUCUGAGCACAAAAACGAGCUGUGUAACUCAAGUUAUUUAAACUCUCUCUGCCUCAUUUGCCUCAUCUGCAUACUGGGGUUACUAACAGACCCUACCUCAUGGAGUUUGGGAGGAUUAAAUGAGUUCAUCCGUAUAAAGCUGUUAGUACGGCGUCUGGCACCUGGUAAGGGCCCAGAUGUCCACUGCUGUAGUGUAUUGCAGUAGAUUGUUUCCAAAGGUGGCUGCAACAAUUUGUCCCAUUGAAAUAUGAAGAGACAGAGUCUGUUUCCUUCCCCUUGAAUCUUGGCUGGCCCUAUGACUUGUGGAAGAAGUGACGUUCUGGGACUUCUGGGCCAUAAGAGUCCUUGCAGCUUCCAUUUUUACCCUCUAGAAAGCCAGUUUCCACGUAAAGAAAUCUAAGCAACUUGCUAGGGAGGCCACAUGGAGACAGUGAAACCCCAGAGGAUGAGAAACCACUUGAAAAAGAGCGAAGGCACCCAGUGGACAGCCAGCACCCGCCGCCGGAUGUGAAUGAGGCUGUCUUGCAUUCCUAAGAUGCUGCAGCUGACAUGAGGUGAAGCAAAGAUGAGUGUCCCAGCUGAGCCUGGCCAAGCUCCUGACUCACGGAAUCCUGAAAAAUAAAUGGUUGUCAUUUU